AGAGAGAGCUUCCUUGAGUCCAUUCACAGGUCGUGAUAUGAUCCAAUUAGCUUCCGACUCAUUCAUCCAAAUACCGAGUCGCCAAAAUUCGAACUAGACUCGUUAAAUGAAUGAAUGAUGCGGUAGACAAAUUGGAUCAUUGAUUCUCUUUGAUUGGACUGAAGGGAGCUCCC
rnacentral:pre_miRNA from 1 species